GUGACAGAAGAGAGAAAGCACUGAUGGUGUUUUACUUUCUGGCAUACCUCCAUGCUUGAACCUAUCUGUGCUUUACUCUCUAUCUGUCAC
rnacentral:pre_miRNA from 1 species